rnacentral:rRNA from 1 species
GGGAUAUUGCACAAUGGGGGGAACCCUGAUGCAGCGACGCCGCGUGGGUGAAGAAGUAUUUCGGUAUGUAAAGCCCUAUCGGCAGGGAAGAAAUUGGACGGUACCUGACCAAGAAGCCCCGGCUAACUACGUGCCAGCAGCCGAGGUAAUACGUAGGGGGCAAGCGUUAUCCGGAUUCACUGGGUGUAAAGGGAGCGUAGACGGCCAUGCAAGCCUGGAGUGGAAGCCCGGGGCCCAACCCCGGGACUGCUCUGGGAACUGUGCGGCUGGAGUGCGGGAGGGGCAGGCGGAAUUCCUGGUGUAGCGGUGAAAUGCGUAGAUAUCAGGAGGAACACCGGCGGCGAAGGCGGCCUGCUGGACCGCGACUGACGUUGAGGCACGAAAGCGUGGGUAUCGAACA